UUCCUACGGGGGGCAGCAGUGAGGAAUAUUGGUCAAUGGGCGCGAGCCUGAACCAGCCAAGUCGCGUGAGGGAAGACGGUCCUAUGGAUUGUAAACCUCUUUUGUCGGGGAGCAAAGAGAGUCACGUGUGACUCAUUGAGAGUACCCGAAGAAAAAGCAUCGGCUAACUCCGUGCCAGCAGCCGCGGUAAUACGGAGGAUGCGAGCGUUAUCCGGAUUUAUUGGGUUUAAAGGGUGCGCAGGCGGAAUGUCAAGUCAGCGGUAAAAUUUCGGGGCUCAACCCCGUCGUGCCGU
rnacentral:rRNA from 1 species